CCUCCUCUUCUUCUUCUUCGUCGUGUCGUAAUGACUGCUCACGCUCAGCAGUGAAGGAAUUGAGGAAAGGAUGAAUGCUAGGGUUCUUCUAAGGUCCGCCACAGCUAAAAAUCCAAUCUUGGAAGAUGGGCUUUUUCUUUUUUUGACCUUAUUUGGGUUCUUUGCUUUGUUUUUUCCUCUAAUGGCAUACCGUGAAAACGAAGCGAACUUGGAAUGGAGGGAAGGUAGAGAGAGGAGAAUCCAUGCGUUGGUCGCUCUGUGGCGACGUGCGUUGCAGUCUGCUUUCUCUCUACUCUUUUCUCUUUGUCUAUCUCUCUAUAUUUGGGAGAGAAGGUGAAAGCAAAGGGGCAGGGUCACACAGCUCAAGUAGAGA
rnacentral:lncRNA from 1 species